rnacentral:rRNA from 1 species
UACGGAGGGUGCAAGCGUUAUCCGGAUUCACUGGGUUUAAAGGGUGCGUAGGUGGGUUGGUAAGUCAGUGGUGAAAUCUCCGUGCUUAACAUGGAAACUGCCAUUGAUACUACUGAUCUUGAAUUUUCAGGAGGUAAGCGGAAUAUGUCAUGUAGCGGUGAAAUGCUUAGAUAUGACAUAGAACACCAAUUGCGAAGGCAGCUUACUACAGGAAUAUUGACACUGAUGCACGAAAGCGUGGGGAUCAAACAGGA